GACGAACGCUGGCGGCGUGCUUAACACAUGCGAGUCGAACGAGAGCGUAGAGAAAGCUUGCUUUUUCUACAAUCUAGUGGCAAACGGGUGAGUAACGCGUAAACAACCUGCCCUACGGAUGGGGACAACAGCUGGAAACGGCUGCUAAUACCGAAUACGUUCCGAAAGUCGCAUGACUAUCGGAAGAAAGGAUGGCCUCUAUUUAUAAGCUAUCGCCGGAGGAGGGGUUUGCGUCUGAUUAGCUAGUUGGAGGGGUAACGGCCCACCAAGGCGACGAUCAGGAGCCGGUCUGAAAGGAAGAACGGGCACAUUGGAACUGGGACACGGUCCAGACUCCUACGGGAGGCAGCAGUGGGGAAACUUCCGCAAUGGGCGAAAGCCUGACGGAGCAACGCCGCGGGAGUGAAGACGGCCUUCGGGUUGUAAAGCUCUGUUAUACGGGACGAAUAAUCUUGUGGUUAAUACCCAUGAGAAGUGACGGUACCGUAAGAGAAAGCCACGGCUAACUACGUG
rnacentral:rRNA from 1 species